rnacentral:rRNA from 1 species
AGUGAACGCUGGCGGUAGGCCUAACACAUGCAAGUCGAACGGCAGCACAGUAAGAGCUUGCUCUUACGGGUGGCGAGUGGCGGACGGGUGAGGAAUACAUCGGAAUCUACUUUUUCGUGGGGGAUAACGUAGGGAAACUUACGCUAAUACCGCAUACGACCUACGGGUGAAAGCAGGGGAUCUUCGGACCUUGCGCGAUUGAAUGAGCCGAUGUCGGAUUAGCUAGUUGGCGGGGUAAAGGCCCACCAAGGCGACGAUCCGUAGCUGGUCUGAGAGGAUGAUCAGCCACACUGGAACUGAGACACGGUCCAGACUCCUACGGGAGGCAGCAGUGGGGAAUAUUGGACAAUGGGCGCAAGCCUGAUCCAGCCAUACCGCGUCGGUGAAGAAGGCCUUCGGGUUGUAAAGCCCUUUUGUUGGGAAAGAAAAGCAGCAGGUUAAUACCCCGCUGUUCUGACAGUACCCAAAGAAUAAGCACCGGCUAACUUCGUG